rnacentral:rRNA from 1 species
GACGAACGCUGGCGGCGUGCCUAAUACAUGCAAGUCGAACGCAGUGGGGACGGGUGAGUAACACGUGGGUAACCUCCCAUCAGAGGGGAUAACACUUGGAAACAGGUGCUAAACCGAUAAUGCUGGAUGGACCCGCGGUACAUUAGCUAGUUGGUGAGGUAACGGCUCACCAGGGCCACGAUGCAUAGCCAAUCUUGGAGGGUGAUCGGCCACACUGUGACUGAGACACGGCCCGGACUCCUACUGGCGGCAGCCGUAGGGAAUCUUCGGCAAUGGACGAAAGGCUGACCGAGCAACGCCGCGUGAUUGAAGAAGGUUGUCGGAUCGUAAAACUCUGUUGUUAGAGAAGCGGGAUCUAACCAGAAAGCCACGGCUAACUACGUGCCAGCCGCCGCGGUAAUUC